CCUACGGGAGGCUGCAGUGAGGAAUAUUGGUCAAUGGGCGCGAGCCUGAACCAGCCAAGUAGCGUGAAGGAUGACUGCCCUACGGGUUGUAAACUUCUUUUAUAAAGGAAUAAAGUGAGGCACGUGUGCCUUUUUGUAUGUACUUUAUGAAUAAGGAUCGGCUAACUCCGUGCCAGCAGCCGCGGUAAUACGGAGGAUCCGAGCGUUAUCCGGAUUUAUUGGGUUUAAAGGGAGCGUAGACGGCAGCGCAAGUCUGGAGUGAAAUGCCGGGGCCCAACCCCGGAACUGCUUUGGAAACUGUGCAGCUGGAGUGCAGGAGAGGUAAGCGGAAUUCCUAGUGUAGCGGUGAAAUGCGUAGAUAUCACGAAGAACUCCGAUUGCGAAGGCAGCUUACUAAACUGCCACUGACAUUGAUGCUCGAAAGUGUGGGUAUCAAACAGGAUUAGAUACCCCUGUAGUC
rnacentral:rRNA from 1 species